CCAGGGGACAUCACAGUGGUGGCCAGACAGCCUGUGGGGUGACGACCCCCCACCCACUGUGAGGACAGCGCUUGGGGACCAGCGCUGGAUUUGGAUAGAGCAAGGCAGCCAGGAAUCCCAGAGAUGAACUCUGAAGGAAGAAUGGGGUGAAGUGAGCACUUUCGGCAUGUCUUCAAAAUUCACUUUGAGAUUUCCAAGGAAGGGAACGACAUCAUCCUGUUUUCCAGGCACCAGUGGUGGGAUUGCAGACCAGCAUGCACUUAAGACCAUGCACACUCCGUCCAGGUCACCGCGGCACACCCUACCAUUCACUCCAGCGGAGCCCUUCCUGUCUUCCGGUCACAUCUCGCCACACUUUCGCCCUAACAAGGAGGUCUUCCGGUAACAUGUCGCCGCAUGUCUGCUCUAACAAGGUCUUCGGGUAACAUCUCGCCACACUUCCGCUCUAAGAAGGAGGUCUUCCGGUCACAUCUCCCAACAAGGAUGUCUUGUGCUUUUGUCUCGUAAGUCGCUUUACAGCAAUGUCACUGAAAGAACUCUUUCAACGGUUGCUUGGUUUGUCAUCACAGACCCCCUUUCCUAGAACCCAAGCGGGAUUGCAAGGCCCCGAGAGGAAGUUUAUAUUUUAUGAUUCUUUGCGUUGCUCCCACCUAACAUGGCAUCUCAGUCAGCCGGGCUCUGCUGUAGCAAAAACACCACACACUGGGCUGCUUACAAACAACGAACAGGCAUUCCCCACAG